CCUACGGGAGGCAGCAGUGAGGAAUAUUGGUCAAUGGGCGCGAGCCUGAACCAGCCAAGUCGCGUGAGGGAGGACGGCCCUACGGGUUGUAAACCUCUUUUGCCGGGGAGCAACGGGCGUCACGUGUGGCGCCACUGAGAGUACCCGGAGAAAAAGCAUCGGCUAACUCCGUGCCAGCAGCCGCGGUAAUCCGGGGGAUGCGAGCGUUAUCCGGUUUUAUUGGGUUUAAGGGGUGCGUGGGCGGAUCGUUAAGUAAGUGGUAAAAUUGAGGGGCUCAACCCCUUCCCGCCAUUGAAACUGGCGCUCUUGAGUGGAAGAGAGGUAUGCGGAAUGCGUGGUGUAGCGGUGAAAUGCAUAGAUAUCACGCAGAACCCCGAUUGCGAAGGCAGCAUGCCGGCUUCCGACUGACGCUGAAGCACGAAAGCGUGGGGAUCGAACAGGAUUAGAUACCCUUGUAGUC
rnacentral:rRNA from 1 species